rnacentral:rRNA from 1 species
AUGCCCGCUGAUGCGCCUGCCAACGAGAUCGACUGGGCGACCCACACCGAGCUGCUUCGCGCCCAGCUGGAGCGUGCCCAAGCUCGUUUCAAGAAGCAGGCCGAUCAUCAUCGCGCAGAGCGUGCGUUUGAUGUGGGCGAGCAAGUUCUCCUCAAGCUUCAGCCAUACGCACAAUCCUCUGUCGCCAAUCGCCCCUGCAAGAAACUGGCGUUCAAGUUCUUCGGGCCGUUCACCGUCCUGGAGCGCGUGGGCAACCUGGCGUAUCGUCUGGAAUUGCCACCAGACAGCCGCAUCCAUCCGGCCUUCCACGUCUCCCAUCUCAAGUCGUUCGUCCCCGACUACACUUUGGUCUUCUCCGAGCUGCCCAAGGUUCCAGACGUCACCACUGACGACCGUGAUCCGGUGGCCAUCCUGGACCGCCGCAUGAUGAAGAAGGGGCACGCUCCCGUGGUGCAGGUACAAGUAUAAUGGAGCUCCAUGUUGCCCACAGCAGCAACUUGGGAAGACUACGCCGUCCUACGUCAACGCUACCCCAACGCGCAACUUUGGGAGGAAGAAGAAGCCGCUGCUCGAGCGGGGGCAAAUGUCACGCCUACUGAUCGAUCAGCAGCGGACUGA